UUAAAGGCCAAAUUACAUUAGCAAUUGGCGACUGAUGAUUGACAAUUAAAGAUUAGAUUUUAACGAAUCAACAAGCUUCAGCUUUGGCUUGCUUUGUUCCAAUUAGUCAAGUUCUAAUCUUUAAUCGUCAAUCGCUAAUGUGAUUUGGCCUUUACACAGUUUAUCUUAUUUAUUUGUUUUCAAAUAGAACCGCGACUUCACGUUAGCGUGUUUGACGUUACGGACCGUAAUAAGUACAAUAAGCAUUAUAAACACCACGGAGAGUGCUUCUCUGAUGUGUAAAAUAAAGAGAAAAAGAGCAUCUCUGAAGUUUUCAUCACUUCCGAAAUCACGAUCUGGCAAAAGUUGACAGCCGUCCAGACCCGUUGAUAAGCACUUGAGCAGCAGGAGAUACGGUAACGUCUUGCCCAGCCUAAUCACUCCUGCGGCACUAGUACUUAGGAACAGGACAGGACAUUCUCGAUUCAUCUUUUCUAGUGCAUUCUUCGAAGGAUUCUUUUAGCUUGUCCUUUCUGCAAACAAAGUAUAAGGACACCCUGUAAACGGAGCGGCUGGCUCUUUCGGCGUUGGUGGUAGCAAAGACGCGAAAAAACGAGAGACGGCAAAAAGAGGGAGAGCCAGUCGUGGGAUAAGAUAAGGGGGAGGGAUGUCAAUUAACGUUAAUUCUCGUUAAUGUCGCUGGUCCCUCUUCGUCAAACGCUGUCCCCCUCGAUUCGAAAAUGACUCGUCUGCGGGUGUAUUUAAUGAUGCACCAGUGGUGCGCAUACCAGAUUCGAAAAGUACGGAAAAGACCGACCUCACGUUUUUGAAAUUCGAGGAUCCGUCAUUGAGAGCGAGAGAAACAUUGAAUCAAUCGAGGACUCUACGAAACAUCUAACUAAACUCCGCAGACUUAUCCUGGACGCGCGACGUAUGAAUGCUUCACAUUACUAACGAUUCUCUUCGACACGUCAUCGUAUCUAUGUGGCACAACGGUUUCAAGUGGAAUGCCAGGGGAAAUUGCCGACGAAGUUACGCAUGCACAGGGAAACUCGGGACGGAGAAAAUACUCGGUAGAGCACAGCGAGCGACGAGUGAUUCCGAGAGGAGUCGAUUAAAUUGGGUAGAAUGCGCUGCGUGGGCCCGUACGCCGGAUACUCGCCGAAUGAAUCUCAUCCCGAGAGAGGAAGUUCAAAUUAAGUCGAGCGAGCCACUGUCAAACGGCUAUGAGUUUUCUAUCUUUCUCGCUCUCGUGUAAACUUGCAUUCAUUCCAUUGCAAUCCUUCCCCUCUUCCCUCGUUUUUGUCGCCUUUCAGCAUCAAUCAAUAGCAUUUCUCAACAAAUUGGAAUAUGUACUACCGCUGCAGUCAUAAUAAAAUUUUCUGUAGUUUUUUUUAAUUUUUCGUUAAGAGUUAAAUAAGUAAAUAGGAUAAACAGAGUGAAUUGAAAUCUGCAAUGGAUAAAAAGAGAUAAUUAGAUGAUGUGUAUAGAGAUAAAUUGAAUAAAGCGAGCUCGACGAAAAAGUUCGAAAGUGCAGAAUA